rnacentral:tRNA from 1 species
ACUUUUUUAUUAUAAUAUAUUAUAUUUGACUUCCAAUCAAAAGAUCUUGAAUUCAAGAAAAAGUA